UGCAAGUCGAGCGAUGCACUUUCGGCAGAAGCCUUCGGGUGGAAGAUGAGAGUGACUGAGCGGCGGACGGGUGAGUAACGCGUGGAUAACCUGCCUCACACAGGGGGAUAACAGUUAGAAAUGACUGCUAAUACCGCAUAAGCGCACAGUACCGCAUGGUACGGUGUGAAAAACUCCGGUGGUGUGAGAUGGAUCCGCGUCUGAUUAGCUGGUUGGUGAGGUAACGGCCCACCAAGGCGACGAUCAGUAGCCGACUUGAGAGAGUGACCGGCCACAUUGGGACUGAGACACGGCCCAGACUCCUACGGGAGGCAGCAGUGGGGAAUAUUGCACAAUGGGGGAAACCCUGAUGCAGCAACGCCGCGUGAGUGAAGAAGUAUUUCGGUAUGUAAAGCUCUAUCAGCAGGGAAGAAAAUGACGGUACCUGACUAAGAAGCCCCGGCUAACUACGUGCCAGCAGCCGCGGUAAUACGUAGGGGGCAAGCGUAUCCGGAUUACUGGGUGUAAAGGGAGCGUAGGCGGUUUGGCAAGUCAGAAGUGAAGCCAGGCUUAACCAUGGGACUGCUUUGAACUGUCAGACUGGAUGCAGAGAGGUAAGUGGAUCCUGGUGUAGCGUGAAUGCGUAGAUAUCAGAGACACG
rnacentral:rRNA from 2 species